AGAAAUUCUUUAUUUGGAAGGGUUUGAACGAUCACUGUGUUUAUCAUUUGAAGAGAGGGAGAGAGAUAGCGCGAUUCACUGGAUCUUUAUCUUCCUCUUCCUCUCCACGUUCCUCCCCCCUCGCCGGCGCUCCGGUCGAUCGGUCGGAGGUAACCGGAGCUCGGAGUGGCAGGGCGGCGAUGGGCCAGGGCGUGAGCUGCGCCAGCUCGAGCUACGAGCACGAGUUCUUCACCGCAGUCCAAGCCGGUGACUUGGCAGCGGUGGACUGCGCCCUGAGCGACGACCCCUCUCUGCUGCUUCGGACCACCAUCUACGAUCGUCUCUCCGCGCUGCACAUCGCCGCCGCCAAUGGCCGCGUCGAGGUUCUAUCUUUGCUCUUGGAUCGAUCUGCGAGUCCCGAUGUCGCUAAUCGAGAUAAACAGACUCCAUUGAUGUUGGCCGCGAUGCACGGGAAGAUCGAGUGCCUGCAAAAGCUUCUUGAUUCGGGAGCAAAUAUCUUAAUGUUCGAUUCAGGACAUGGAAGAACAUGCCUGCACUAUGCUGCGUAUUAUGGUCACUCAGAUUGUUUGCAAUCGAUUUUGCUGGCGGCCAAAUCCGCACCAGUCGCCGGUUCUUGGGGAUUCGCUCGAUUUGUCAACCUGAGAGAUGGCUCAGGGGCGACGCCGCUGCACCUCGCUUCCAGGCAAAGACGGCCCAACUGUGUUCAUACUCUCUUGGACAGCGGAGCUCUCGUUGGUUCUUCGACUGGCCGAUACGGUUUUCUCGGCAGCACUCCGCUUCACUUGGCAGCUCGCGGGGGAAGUUUGGACUGCAUCCGUGAAUUGCUCGCGCGAGGUGCUGAUCGGCUUCAGAGAGAUGCAUCUGGGAGGCUACCGUACGAGGUUGCACUGAAGCAGAAUCAUGCAACAUGCGCAGCUCUACUUGACCCGUCUGCAGCAGAUCCUCUGGUUUGGCCCUCUUCAUUGAAGUUCAUUAGCGAACUUAAUCUAGAGGCCAAAGCUCUACUGGAGGCAGCUCUGGUGGAGGGUAACAGACAAAGAGAGCUAAAGAUCCUGAAAGCAGCAAAUCAAUCUUUGACAUCUCUUGCUCGUUCAGAUAUAGCAUCUGAUGAUGAUAUUUCAGAGGAUGGCGAUGCGAAGCUGUGCUCCAUCUGCUUCGACAGAGCUUGCACCAUGGAGGUCCAAGACUGCAAGCAUCAGAUGUGUGCCCAUUGCGUUCUUGCCUUGUGCUGCCAUAGCAAGCCCAACCCCACAACCUUGUGCUUGCCAUCGCCUGCCUGCCCCUUUUGCCGCACCGGCAUCUCAAAGCUGGUCAUCGCCAAUGCCAAGGAUGGCGAAGAGCAGGGUGACGUCUCGCACAGGCUGCCAAGGACCCAGAAUUGCACCGAGGGCAGCAGUAGCUUCAGAGAUCUGUCUUCAGCUAUGGGUUCAUUUGGAAACAUAGAAAUAACUACUGAUAGCAGGGAUAUGGUGAACAAGCUUUAGAUCUCACUGCAUAAAAAAACAAGGCUAGUGAAGCAUGAAGAAAGAACUGAUGGGAAUUGGUGAUUCAAUGUACAAGUGCACACUAAUUGAGAGGUGUUUUGGACGUUGGCUAUCAUAUUGGAGACACAUAGACGGUGGGAUCUCUUAUUUUAAUAAGCAUGUGGAGCCUUGGUCUCUGGCUUCUUUGGCAGUGUCUACUCAUAUCAUUUCACUUGGUAAGAUCACCUCAAACUCUAUUUUCUUUCCAAGUAAAUACCUGAACGGAAGUAGUAAGUGUGGAAGAGUAGCUUCUACUAAUUCAGAUUUUGGUUGGAUUGUGUCAGCUUGAUAUUGAAAUGGCGUGUAGUUGUUGUACCCAUUUCAGAGUGAAGAAGUGGUUGUGGGAAGUUGAGAUAGUUUGAUGAAUGCUUUGGUUCAACGAGUCCACUUUAAUCACCUUCCAAUUCGACCAGUCCCUAUCGAGCCGAUACCCUAAGAAUAAAAAAAUUUACUUUUUAGUCAGUGUAAUUCUUAACCUUUGGUAGGAUUGGCAGAUUCAGAUUAGGAGUUGUCCUUCUCUUCCUGAUUCACUUAAAUAAUGCAGAGAUUUUGUAAAGAUUCAAUCACAGAUCUACCAAACUGGUUGGUAAGCUCUCAUUUUCAUUAUUUAUUUUUCUUGAGUUAAUUACCAAUUUUAUAUGAAAAUUUUAAAUUGUCAUUAACUUUUAAUAUUAAAAGGAGAAUUUGAAUGGGUACAAUUACCAAAAAUCUUUGCAAGAACAUGAACCAUCUCUAAAAUGAUGGAACCUCUUAUUGUCUCUCACGAUAAUUUCCCGCUCUACCACUUUCGAAAGCAACUUGGCUGUGUUAUGGCAGUCUCUGCAUAUCCUUAUGUUCUUGCACACCCUAAUUUUCGUGUUUCCAUUCGUCUUCAACAGCCCGAAAGCUAUCGCUUGUUUCUCGCUAUGGCCUUGCAAUAUCUUAAGCUUCUCCUUCUCGUUCAACUCAUGUAACACUACACUAGUGUCGGGAACAUAUCCAAUUGUCCUCAACUUCUCCUCGAGAACACACCACAUUCUAUGAAUGUCAUCGGAUUCUGGAAGUUGAUUAUCACCCGAAACAAAGUUGUAAACUCGACCACCCACAUCGAUCCAACUAAAACCAGGGUCCUUGUAGAGGUCCAUCUCUUUCAUUCGGUGUCUAAUUCUUCGAACGCAAUCCCACCUCUCUUGGCUUGCAAAGAGGUUCGACGCCAAAACAUAAUGCUCAGAUCUCUGUGGCUCCAAAUCUAACAGUUUCUCAGCAACUUUCUCCCCCAAACAUAUGUCACCAUGAGUUCUGCACGCUGCAAGCAAUGCACUCCAGAUUCUGCCAUCAGGUUCUUCAGGCAUCUCUUCGAUGAUUGUUAAUGCUUCCGCCAACUUCCCUACACGCCCAAGCAUGUCUGCAACACACGCAUAGUGUUCCAACUUUGGAUCGAUACCGUGCUUGUUUUUCAUCUCCUCGAAGUAGCCCAAUCCUUCUUCCACCAAUCCUGUAUGAUUGCAUGCCAUUAAAAUGCCGACAUAGGUGAAUGCAUCAGGCUUCAACCCUUGUGCUUCCAUCAUUUUGUAUAGUUGUAUUGCUUCGUGCCCGAGGCCAUUGAUAGCGUAUCCAGUGAUCAUCACAGUCCAUGAGACCACAUCUUUGUUCUUUAUGUUGCCAAAGAAGGUCCGGGCUUGCUCCACGGCACCACAUUUCGCAUACAUAUCGAUUACUGAACUGCUAAGGAAGGUAUCCUCUGCAAAGCCAUUCUUCAGUGCAUAGCAAUGUGCCUCUUGCCCUAACCGCAAGGCAGAUAGUUCAGAGCAAGCCGUGAAGGCACUGGUGGUUGCGAAAAUUGUAGGUCCAUGUCUGUCAUGCUGCAUUUGGCGAAAAAGCUCGAGGCAUUCCAAUGGAAGUCCAUUCUGACAGUAGCCAGCAAGCAUGGCAUUCCACGAGACAGAAUCGUUAACCUCCA